CCACUCGUCAUACUUAGUACGGCGAGUGAAGCGGUAAAAGCUCAAAUUUGAAAUCUGGUACUUUCAGUGCCCGAGUUGUAAUUUGUAGAAUUUGUCUUUGAUUAGGUCCUUGUCUAUGUUCCUUGGAACAGGACGUCAUAGAGGGUGAGAAUCCCGUUUGGCGAGGAUACCUUUUCUCUGUAAGACUUUUUCGAAGAGUCGAGUUGUUUGGGAAUGCAGCUCAAAGUGGGUGGUAAAUUCCAUCUAAAGCUAAAUAUUGGCGAGAGACCGAUAGCGAACAAGUACAGUGAUGGAAAGAUGAAAAGAACUUUGAAAAGAGAGUGAAAAAGUACGUGAAAUUGUUGAAAGGGAAGGGCAUUUGAUCAGACAUGGUGUUUUUUGCAUGCACUCGCCUCUCGUGGGCUUGGGCCUCUCAAAAAUUUCACUGGGCCAACAUCAAUUCUGGCAGCAGGAUAAAUCAUUAAGAAUGUAGCUACUUCGGUAGUGUUAUAGCUUUUUGGAAUACUGUUAGCCGGGAUUGAGGACUGCGCUUCGGCAAGGAUGUUGGCAUAAUGGUUAAAUGCCGCCCGUCUUGACCCCCCGAAACCA
rnacentral:rRNA from 1 species